AGGGAACAGAUGCUCGUUGCCUUAAGGGUUAAAGGCAGAGAGUGCAAGCUGCUAGAGGGGAGGGUGCUGAUGCUCGAUACUGACUUGGGAAACGGCGUGGGGCUUAAGCUGAACAGCUGACCCGCCACCUCUGCACUUGUCUUGCAAGGAAUAGGGUCAAUCCCUAGCUAGAGAUCUGCCAUCCCCUUGUCUCGGUCCAGAUUUGGGUCUCUGCCUCCUGGGAUUUUAGACACACACGGUCGCCACAUGUUGACUGCAGCAGGCAAUGGCUCCCUCGCAUGUGUGAACAGCCAUUGGGGGUCACUCUGAAACACCACAGAGAUUGGUCGUUGCUUUGACGAAUAUCCUGUAACCGACCACCUUCCUGAGCCCUCUGGUCUCUCCCACUGCCAAUAAAAAUAAAAUACUUGUUUACCUGACGCUGACACAAAAGCUCACAUACUAUAGAAAUGAAUGAAAUGUUUAUUUCUUUCCCGCUUUCCUUCCCUCUCUCUUCCCACUUUUCUUCCACCCCCCCCCAACUCCAUAUUGUCUAGAACAGUACUGUCUCACUCUGAAUAGGACUGAUUUGUUUGAAGGAUUCUGUGACUUGAAAACAGGAACUCUGGGUGUACCCAAGAAUUUAAUAAAAACAUUUUUAAAAACAA